GGUUACAGAGGGUUGGGGCACCUCCUGAAACAAGUCCCUGCAGUGUCGGCCUCCACGCCCGCCUGGGUUUCAGGCACCUCUGUCCCCCGCCCCCACCAGAACUGUGACCACCCCUGUCCCAUCCCCCACCACUCACAGUUGUCAAAUCCUUUCCCGGCACAGCCCGGGGACGGGCUUGAGCGUGGGCGCUUCGGGGCUCUGUCGACACCCCACAUCCUCUUCCGCGGCAACAGGAGACCCUGGGAGCCUGCUCUGCAGGGCUUGGCCGUGGGGUGCACUGCCCAGGCCGAGCCGGGCUUUCUCGCCCGGGAAGUCGGUGUACAAUCCCAGGCAGCCUCAUUUCGCGGCGAGAGAAAGAGGGACGGUGACUUUUUUGGAGACAGGAGCUGGUCCAGAACGAAAGUGGGAUCUGACACUUCUCCCUGCCACUGACAAGACUGCGCCUCACUGGGAGAUUUUCCGCACUCUUGGCCCAAGCCUUGCCUCAUAAAGGGAUGGGGAUAAAUUGC